AACGAACGCUGGCGGCAUGCCUAACACAUGCAAGUCGAACGAGACCUUCGGGUCUAGUGGCGCACGGGUGCGUAACGCGUGGGAACCUGCCCUUAGGUUCGGAAUAACUCCCCGAAAGGGGUGCUAAUACCGGAUAAUGUCUUCGGACCAAAGAUUUAUCGCCUUUGGAUGGGCCCGCGUUGGAUUAGCUAGUUGGUAGGGUAAAAGCCUACCAAGGCGACGAUCCAUAGCUGGUCUGAGAGGAUGAUCAGCCACACUGGGACUGAGACACGGCCCAGACUCCUACGGGAGGCAGCAGUGGGGAAUAUUGGACAAUGGGCGAAGGCCUGAUCCAGCAAUGCCGGGUGAGUGAUGAAGGCCUUAGGGUUGUAAAGCUCUUUUACCCGGGAUGAUAAUGACAGUACCGGGAGAAUAAGCUCCGGCUAACUCCGUG
rnacentral:rRNA from 1 species